GACGAACGCUGGCGGCGUGCCUAACACAUGCAAGUCGAGCGAACAGACCAGGAGCUUGCUCCUCUGACGUUAGCGGCGGACGGGUGAGUCACACGUGGAUAACCUACCUAUAAGACUGGGAUAACUUCGGGAAACCGGAGCUAAUACCGGAUAAUAUAUUGCACCGCAUGGUUCAAUAGUGAGAUACGGUUUUUGUGUCACUAAUAGCUGGAUCCGCGCCGCAUUAGCUGGUUGGUAAGGUAACGGCUUACCAAGGCGAGGAGGCGUAGCCGACCGGAGAGGGUGGUCGCCCACCCUGGAUGUGAGACAGGGUCCACACACCUGCGGGAGGCAGCAGUAGGGAAUCUUACGCAAUGGACGAGAGCCUGACGGAGCAACGCCGCGUGAGUGAUGAAGGUGUUCGGAUCGGAAAGCUCUGUUAUUAGGGGAGAACAAAUGUGUAAGUAACUGUGCACGUCUUGACGGUACCUAGUCAAAAAGCCACGGCUAACUACGUG
rnacentral:rRNA from 1 species